UGACGUUGGCUCAAUUGGUAGAGCAGCGGGGCGACCCGCAGGUUGCCGGUUCGAGUCCGGCACGUCAGCCA
rnacentral:tRNA from 1 species